GGGAACAAGCCAGGGUGCUUCUCCCUCUCUGACUUGGAUAGUGUCUCUAGCAUCUCCUUCAUAAUUCCAGCUGCCUUUCUGGUCUCAGACCCCCUCCAGCAAACUCCCACCAUGCUUUCAGCUCCCUUCAGGCGGCUCCACCUCCUGAGCUUCUGCAACAGGACCUCAUCUUCUCAAACAACCCCAUGCACAGACCCUGCUACUGUCUACAUGGAACAGAUGAGGAAACUCCGAGGUCUUCAGUAAUUUGCCCGAGGCCACACAGCAAGACUUACCGAAUGGCUAACAGGUGUGUUGGACAACCACCCAGCCCUUCAGGCCACCAGAUGAUGCCCAGCAUGACUAAGAGACCUUGCCAAGCUGCCCGCCAACUGCAGAAGCCUCCUCCAGUGUGCUAAACACUACUUUAAAGGAAACUUCCAACAAAUUAUUUAUCUGGACCUCAAACUGAUUUUAUCAAAUAGCAAUAUAUGCUCUUUCUCCAAAAGCUUGCUCUUCCUGCCUUCCCUUUUCUGUCAGUGAUGAUAAUCUUCAUAGGUGUAUAGGCUUAAAGCAGAGACCUCAUCUUUGACAUUUCUCUCCAUUCCUCCCCUCUUCCCUUUCACAUCCCAUUAAACACCAUUUUUCUUUUCCUUCCUUGCAUUUUGAAGUCUCACAGAGCCAGGCUUAAAACUAAGACCAGUCAUAUGAACUUAAGGAACUUUCCUCACCAGACUGACACUUGCUAUCCUUAUCUAUGAAAUGAGAAUAUGGAAGUUGCAGAUUUGUUGUGAGGAUUAAAUAAGAUUGUAUUGAACACUACAUCAAAAACUAAUGAUGUAUUACAUGUUGGUGAACAUAAAACAAAAAAGAUGGUGUGUCAAAUGCAUAGCACAUGUUAGCUAAAUUCUACCUGCUACUAAACUGGAUGCCUCAGUGAUGUCCAGUAUCACCCAGCCUCUCCCCAAACCUACCUCCACAUCUUCAGCCCUGUUGUUCACUUUGCCUGGACUAUCCUCUCUCCCUCUUUCCCAUUUCUGUCCAUCAUUCUCAUAUGCCUGCUUCUCAGACCAUCUUUCAAACGCUAUGUACCUUUGGCAUCCAGGAGUGACACCUACUUCCUUUGAACCAUAAAUGAUUCUUGGGAUUUAUUUCUACAACUCACGAGACACUUGACAUCAUGACUGUGUGCUCUGCUUUGGUACAUAUCAUCUCUUCUUAUAAACGUUCAUGUAUAUUUUCUCUACACAUGCCAUUUACUUAACAAAUCACUUCUAAGUGUCUGAAAGGAAUGAUCAAUCAAUUAAUUGAUGAUGAUGUCUGCACCUGGCAUGGGCAAAUGGAAAGUGAUUUCGAAGUGAUGGUUGAUUUAAACAAAGAAUAAGACACCAAAGACACUUCAUAUUUUCUGUGCUGAUUUUUUAAUGAACAUCUUAUAAUCUUACAAAAUAACUGGCUGUAGCUGUUUUACAUUACAAUACAGUAGAUCAGCUCCUUUCACUGUGUUCCCAAUCAAGCCAUCCCCUUCGGGUGCUAACUGAUGCACUUAAUAGUGAUCUUACAGAGGAGAGGAAGUGCCAAGUCCAAUGUCUUGUAAUGGAGGCAAGGAAAGGAGAGAAUCAAGAAUAACUCUUCACUUUCAUGUACAGGUUUGCCUACUGCCCAUUCUCCUUACUCUGUCCUCUCAUCUCUCCGGUUGGAGACUGUCACACUAGCCAUUAGAGUCAGCUAGUCCUGGGCAACCUGGACAACCAGAGCCCCUGGUUACUAGGAAAAAAAAGAAGCAGAGAAGUGACUUUUGGAACAAAGAAGGGCCUGUGGGAGAGGUCCUCCAUGACCCCAUGGAUAUGUAAGAGCAGCCAAAUACAGACCACCACAUAGAGUGAGUGGGAGUUGAUAUCUCCUGGGAAUCUGUGACCACGGUGUCUCUGUCCUUCCACUUUGUUAGUGACAUGAGAGCUCAACAGCCUGGGCCCCAGGGACACAGGCUAGAAGAGCCUGCCAUCUCUGAAUGGCCAGAGCUGAUGAGGGCCGGGCAGCCUUCAGCCAGAAGGACUUUCCACACACCACAGAAACUGCCCUCUUGCCUUUUCAGGGCAAAAGUGGAUUGUAGAUGUUGCCAAUGGAGAAUAAAAUAUUCGUAAAUGAAGUAUGACAGAGAAAUGUUCUCACUGUUCCUUCUGUGAAGAAACUGAGCACAGACCCACACUGGUGGGAACCACAGGCUUGCAGCCUUGUGGGGGAGCUGUAGCCUUCCUGAGCUGGGUGAUGUCCAAGAUACCUAUUCUGCUGCCUCAGUCUCAGACAAGGCAGGAUUCCCUGACAAAGAGCUUGAUGCACUUCCAAGAAUAUGGAUACUCUCCCCAAGAAAACAAUUUUACAACUUUGUAAAAAAAAAAAAUGGAGGAUCUAAACUUUUUCCACUGUCUUUUCCAUAUUGAAGCCUACUACAAUCCUAGGAAUAUUUAUUCUUUUUGGGGGGCACUAAAUGUGAACCCAGACAAUGAGGAGUAGGUAUCUAGGUUUCCCUUAUGGCUAGAAACAUAGAGGACAAGGGUUUUUUGGAUGGGUAAUCUCUGCUACUUCCUUUCCCCAAUGAUGGUGCCACCCUCAUUUUAUGUCCCUAGAGAUAAAUAUGUGUAUACCCCCUUCUUUUUUUCCCAUUCCAGAAUAUGGUUCUUUCCUCACGAUAGCGGUGGGGGAAUAUUUCCUCUUCCUAUUUGCAAAGCCAUUGCUUCAGUGUUGGUGGGAAGAGUCGAAAACUUGUGGUCAGAGCCAAAGAGCAGAUGAUUCAGAGAGACCAAGGUUGCACUCUAAUUUUGGCCUGUUCUUCGCUUCCAUUGGAGAGGAAGCUCUGAGGGAGAAGCAAGCCUUCCCGCCCUUCUUGAGAUAACAAACUGAAGUGUUGAGCAAGAAAUUAACUCUCUUUCCCCAAGGCUUAAUCCAGAAACUGUUACCAAAAACAACUGCAAUAGACCAUGUGCGAAAAGAGUAAGCCUGGGAUGUAAAUAGAGGCAGUUAAUGUGGUCAUUUUACCCACAGUCCAUCUAUUUAACCAGAAAGGAAAACGACAACAAAAUGGACCCUAAAUAGUUGAAAUUCUUCUCUCUUCCCACAGAGUGUCACCCUUGCUCCACGUGUUUCCGUAGCUUGCUCGAUCAAAAACUCUAGGUCAUGGAUAUAUGUUGUACUCAAAUAGAAUUUACCUCAGAUCCUGCAUUGCUUGAAGGAUUCCCCUCCGAUCUGUUCUGGAGACUUGGAACAAGGCCAAGUCUCUUUGACUCAUUUCAUCCUCCUGCCUGGGGCUCUAAUUUACUCCUGGCCUCUCCCAUCUCUAUGGCCUCCUUUGGCUCCCCCAUCUCUGUCUGUUCUUCCGUCUCCUCCCAUUUUCUCCCUAUGUCAUGUCCAUAACAUUUUUUUCCCCAGAUCAUCAAUUGGUCAUGUGUCUAUGAAUGAUAGCCAGGUUUGGGGACUUAGAAGGAGAGAGGGCACAGGCCAACCAUGAGAAAUGUGCGAGUUCCUGUAAUCAUGGCAAUCAGAGAACAAGCCCCAGUAUAAACUUGCUCACUGACUGGCGGGUUAAGAGCCACCCUUGGAACAGACACAUAUGGGAAUGUAGAGAAUCCUGGGUCUCGCUAACUCCAAAUGAGAGUUCUGAGAAAUGAAAAGUAGUGAAUAUAUUCUUUUUGGAUAGAAAUACACAAGAACCACAGUCUGGUUCUCCUGGCCCCAGCACCAAUGGGUACUCCCACCUAACCUGCCAUGCCUCUUAAUGUUAUCAUCCCAACCCUUCAUCUCCUCAAACUGGGCCCAGCUUCCUGCUCAUGAAAAGAUGAUUAGCUGACAUGUUCAUAUCAAGAACUCCACCUAAUUUCUCUCUCCCUCCCCUUUACCACUUCCCUUUCAACCUGCCAACCCCCAUCAAUAGAAAAAUGGCAGAACAAGUUUUCUUGCUGUCCUCAAACCCUCAGGAUUCAUUUUGGAAGUGAACUUCACAGCAGCAAUAUGUGGAACAAUGUAUAAUUUUUAGCUUAGUAGACAGCAAAAAAUAUAAUAUAUAUAUAAUAGAUUUAUAUAAUUAUGUUUAAAUACCUAUAAAGAACUAAUAACUAACCUCAUUAUUACUAAAGGAGACUACAUGAAAGAAAGGGAGCCAGUUUAGAGUAGAUGAGCCCUGAAAGAUGGCA